ACUCCUACGGGAGGCAGCAGUGGGGAAUAUUGCACAAUGGGCGCAAGCCUGAUGCAGCCAUGCCGCGUGUGUGAAGAAGGCCUUCGGGUUGUAAAGCACUUUCAGUCGUGAGGAAGGCGGGUACGUUAAUAGCGUAUUCGUUUGACGUUAGCGACAGAAGAAGCACCGGCUAACUCCGUGCCAGCAGCCGCGGUAAUACGGAGGGUGCGAGCGUUAAUCGGAAUUACUGGGCGUAAAGCGCAUGCAGGUGGUUUGUUAAGUCAGAUGUGAAAGCCCGGGGCUCAACCUCGGAAUAGCAUUUGAAACUGGCAGACUAGAGUACUGUAGAGGGGGGUAGAAUUUCAGGUGUAGCGGUGAAAUGCGUAGAGAUCUGAAGGAAUACCGGUGGCGAAGGCGGCCCCCUGGACAGAUACUGACACUCAGAUGCGAAAGCGUGGGGAGCAAACAGGAUUAGAUACCCUGGUAGGAUA
rnacentral:rRNA from 1 species